CGCCAGACUCCUACGGGAGGCAGCAGUGGGGGAUAUUGCACAAUGGGGGAAACCCUGAUGCAGCGACGCCGCGUGGGCGAAGAAGUAUUUCGGUAUGUAGAGCCCUAUCAGCAGGGAAGAAGAAAUGACGGUACCUGAGUAAGAAGCACCGGCUAAAUACGUGCCAGCAGCCGCGGUAAUACGUAUGGUGCAAGCGUUAUCCGGAUUUACUGGGUGUAAAGGGAGCGCAGGCGGCACGGCAAGCCUGAUGUGAAAGCCCGCGGCCCAACCGCGGGACUGCAUUGGGAACUACCGGGCUGGAGUGCCGGAGAGGUAGGCGGAAUUCCUAGUGUAGCGGUGAAAUGCGUAGAUAUUAGGAGGAACACCGGUGGCGAAGGCGGCCUGCUGGACUGCAACUGACGUUGAGGCCCGAAAGCGUGGGGAGCAAACAGGAUUAGAUACCCCGGUACC
rnacentral:rRNA from 1 species